rnacentral:rRNA from 1 species
GCUCCAGUAGCGUAUACUAAUGUUGCUGCAGUUAAAAAGCUCGUAGUUGGAUUUCUGGUGGUUGAUUGGUCCGCUGUUUUUGCAGAUGAGUAUCAUUUUUCAACUAUCAUCCUAACUGGUUUCUCGGGUUUCCGGGUUCUCAGUUUCUUUUACUUUGAAAAAAUUAGAGUGUUUAAAGCAGGCUUGCGCAAUGAAUACAU